UACGUAGGGUGCGAGCGUUAAUCGGAAUUACUGGGCGUAAAGCGUGCGCAGGCGGUUGGAAAAGAUAGAUGUGAAAUCCCUGGGCUCAACCUAGGAAUUGCAUUUAUGACUAUCCGACUAGAGUACGGUAGAGGGGAGUGGAAUUCCGCGUGUAGCAGUGAAAUGCGUAGAUAUGCGGAGGAACACCGAUGGCGAAGGCAGCUCCCCUGGACCUGUACUGACGCUCAUGCACGAAAGCGUGGGGGAGCAAACAGGAUUAGAUACCCUGGUAGUCCUCGCCCUAAACGAUGUCGACUAGUUGUUGGACGGGAAACUGUUCAGUAACGAAGCUAACGCGUGAAGUCGACCGCCUGGGGAGUACGGCCGCAAGGUUAAAACUCA
rnacentral:rRNA from 1 species